UCCAUAGCCAAAAUCCUUCUCAACUCUCAAUUUUAUUCGGGUUUUAAGGUGAAAGUUUGGGAAAGAUCCAACAAUUUCUUCCUAAGGUGUUAAUAAACCUUUGAGUUGCAGAUUAGUGUGGGCCCCUGUAGCCGAUGAGCUCGG